rnacentral:lncRNA from 1 species
GAUGUUAUUAUCAAAAAGUUAUACGCAGUGACAAGUGAUUACAUGUAAUCUAAAAGGCACUGGCUAGGGUUACAUGGAAAGGUAACAAUUAUAAAAAUAUUAUUGUUACAUUGGAGACUAAUUGCAAGAAUGCAAAGUUGGGUAAGGAGGUGUCAGACAACCAAUUACUCUCUCCAAUUUGUAAAAGUAGCCCUACUCUGACA